rnacentral:rRNA from 1 species
GACGAACGCUGGCGGCGUGCCUAAUACAUGCAAGUUGAGCGAUGAAGCUUGGUGCUUGCACCAAUUUGAAGAGCAGCGAACGGGUGAGUAACGCGUGGGGAAUCUGCCUUUGAGCGGGGGACAACAUUUGGAAACGAAUGCUAAUACCGCAUAACAACUUUAAACAUAAGUUUUAAGUUUGAAAGAUGCAAUUGCAUCACUCAAAGAUGAUCCCGCGUUGUAUUAGCUAGUUGGUGAGGUAAAGGCUCACCAAGGCGAUGAUACAUAGCCGACCUGAGAGGGUGAUCGGCCACAUUGGGACUGAGACACGGCCCAAACGCCUACGGGAGGCAGCAGUAGGGAAUCGUCGGCAAGGGACGAAAGUCUGACCGAGCAACGCCGCGGGAGGGAAGAAGGUUGUCGGAUCGGAAAACUCUGUUGGUAGAGAAGAACGUUGGUGAGAGUGGAAAGCUCAUCAAGUGACGGUAACUACCCAGAAAGGGACGGCUAACUACGUG